rnacentral:rRNA from 1 species
GACGAACGCUGGCGGCGUGCCUAAUACAUGCAAGUAGAACGCACAGUUUAUACCGUAGCUUGCUACACCAUAGACUGUGAGUUGCGAACGGGUGAGUAACGCGUAGGUAACCUGCCUGGUAACGGGGGAUAACUAUUGGAAACGAUAGCUAAUACCGCAUAAUAUUGAUUAUUGCAUGAUAAUUAAUUGAAAGGUGCAAUUGCACCACUACCAGAUGGACCUGCGUUGUAUUAGCUAGUAGGUGAGGUAACGGCUCACCUAGGCGACGAUACAUAGCCGACCUGAGAGGGUGAUCGGCCACACUGGGACUGAGACACGGCCCAGACUCCUACGGGAGGCAGCAGUAGGGAAUCUUCGGCAAUGGACGAAAGUCUGACCGAGCAACGCCGCGUGAGGGAAGAAGGGUUUCGGAUCGUAAAGCUCUGUUGUAAGAGAAGAACGGGUGUGAGAGUGGAAAGUUCACACUGUGACGGUAUCUUACCAGAAAGGGACGGCUAACUACGUG